CUUGCUUUUCUGAUCAGUGGCGAACGGGUGAGUAACACGUGAGCAACCUACCCUUGACUCUGGGAUAACAGUUGGAAACAGCUGCUAAUACCGGAUAUGACCCUGGCAGGCAUCUGCUGGGGUGGAAAGCUCCGACGGUCAGGGAUGGGCUCGCGGCCUAUCAGCUUGUUGGUGAGGUAGUGGCUCACCAAGGCGACGACGGGUAGCCGGCCUGAGAGGGCGACCGGCCACACUGGGACUGAGAUACGGCCCAGACUCCUACGGGAGGCAGCAGUGGGGAAUAUUGCGCAAUGGGCGAAAGCCUGACGCAGCAACGCCGCGUGCGGGAUGACGGCCUUCGGGUUGUAAACCGCUUUCACCCAUGACGAAGGGUUUCUGACGGUAGUGGGAGAAGAAGCACCGGCUAACUACGUGCCAGCAGCCGCGGUGAUACGUAGGGUGCGAGCGUUGUCCGGAAUUAUUGGGCGUAAAGAGCUUGUAGGCGGUUUGUUGCGUCGGGAGUGAAAACUCAGGGCUUAACCCUGAGCCGGCUCUCGAUACGGGCAGACUUGAGGAAGGUAGGGGAGAACGGAAUUCCUGGUGGAGCGGUGGAAUGCGCAGAUAUCAGGAGGAACACCAGUGGCGAAGGCGGUUCUCUGGACCUUAUCUGACGCUGAGAAGCGAAAGCGUGGGGAGCAAACAGGCUUAGAUACCCUGGUAGUCCACGCUGUAAACGGUGGGCACUAGGUGUGGGACCCUUCCACGGGUUCCGUGCCGUAGCUAACGCAUUAAGUGCCCCGCCUGGGGAGUACGGCCGCAAGGCUAAAACUCAAAGGAAUUGACGGGGGCCCGCACAAGCGGCGGAGCAUGCGGAUUAAUUCGAUGCAACGCGAAGAACCUUACCUGGGUUU
rnacentral:rRNA from 1 species